rnacentral:rRNA from 1 species
AUACGUAGGGUGCAAGCGUUAAUCGGAAUUACUGGGCGUAAAGCGUGCGCAGGCGGUUUUGUAAGACAGAGGUGAAAUCCCCGGGCUCAACCUGGGAACUGCCUUUGUGUCUGCAAGGCUAGAGUACGGCAGAGGGGGAUGGAAAUCCGCGUGUCGAAGGGAAAUGCGUAGAUAUGCGGAGGAACACCGAUGGCGAAGGCAAUCCCCUGGGCCUGUACUGACGCUCAUGCACGAAAGCGUGGGGAGCAAACAGGAUUAGAUACCCUGGUAGUCCACGCCCUAAACGAUGUCAACUGGUUGUUGGGUCUUCAUUGACUCAGUAACGAAGCUAACGCGUGAAGUUGACCGCCUGGGGAGUACGGCCGCAAGGUUGAAACUCAAAUGAAUUGACGGGG